UGGGGAAUUUUGGACAAUGGGCGAAAGCCUGAUCCAGCAAUGCCGCGUGUGUGAAGAAGGCCUUCGGGUUGUAAAGCACUUUUGUCCGGAAAGAAAUCCUUGGCUCUAAUACAGUCGGGGGAUGACGGUACCGGAAGAAUAAGCACCGGCUAACUACGUGCCAGCAGCCGCGGUAAUACGUAGGGUGCAAGCGUUAAUCGGAAUUACUGGGCGUAAAGCGUGCGCAGGCGGUUUGCUAAGACCGAUGUGAAAUCCCCGGGCUCAACCUGGGAACUGCAUUGGUGACUGGCAGGCUAGAGUAUGGCAGAGGGGGGUAGAAUUCCACGUGUAGCAGUGAAAUGCGUAGAGAUGUGGAGGAAUACCGAUGGCGAAGGCAGCCCCCUGGGCCAAUACUGACGCUCAUGCACGAAGGCGUGGGGAGCAAACAGGAUUAGAUACCCUGGUAGUCCACGCCCUAAACGAUGUCAACUAGUUGUUGGGGAUUCAUUUCCUUAGUAACGUAGCUAACGCGUGAAGUUGACCGCCUGGGGAGUACGGUCGCAAGAUU
rnacentral:rRNA from 1 species